CUUCCCUCUGCACGCUCUGGCCAGUCUGUUCCUCAGCUACCGAAGAUCAGGCCUUCUGUACCAGCGGCUUCAGUCGUCCUAACCAGUUAAACCAGCCUGGAAGGCCGGCCCAGCCUGCGCCUGGGGCACCUCCCAAAUCAGCUCCCGCCGAUCCGACAGGAGGUCUCUCCCUUGUACUCUGCAUUUUCUACCCAGUGAAGCCAGCCCCUCCGCCUGACCUUCAAGAGCCUCCCACCAUCAGACACCAAGAUACUGUCUUCUGACUGCGUGCGGAGCUUUCUGGUUUUCGCUCUGGCAACAAAAGUGUCAACAAAAGUGUCGCCUGGUUACUAAGGACGAAUUUGUGUGGUUAUAGAACAUACUUGUUUUUUGCCUCCUGAGUCUUCAUUCCUCCCAAUUGAAGCCGUGCAGCAUAACCAUACCCUCCAGUGGCUGAGCGUUUCGGAGAUGGUCAUGUAACCCAAUCAGAGCCAAGGAGCCCCACAGAGACUUCAGUUGAGGAGUGCAGUAAAUUGCAGUGCCCUUGUUUUUCUGGUGUGGUGUAAGUACAUGAAGGCUAAAAAUGUGCAACCAUUUUGCUCCUACGAGAGGAAAGCCUGAAGGAGAUGGGCUUAAGGGACAGGCACCAGAGAGCCUGAAGAUGCAGUCAAUAUUGUCAAAUGCGUUCUGCAGAGGAGAAGAACCGUAUGUGUGGUGGCAUCACUAGAGCUGCACUAUCAGACCUCACCUGUUUGGCCUACAGACUAAUAUCUACACUGUUUAGAAUGGUGUCAUACAUGCCCUGUGUUGUUUAAGCAGAUUUGUAUUGGGGGUUUUCUGUGAUUCAAAACUCUAAACGUCCUAACUAAUUCUGUUGGAUUUCUUUACAUGACAUUGCAAGGUCCUGUCGAAUACAAAUUAAUACUUAAAAAUAAACUGUGGAAGAGACUUUCAGCUAUGGCUAUGUGACAUGGCCAACAAUUCCUCUACACAAGCAAUUUUCAACUGGUGUGCUGCAAGAAUUUUUAAAACAUGUAAAACAUGCAAUAACUGACUAGUU